rnacentral:rRNA from 1 species
AAUAGUGCACAGAUGAUGACUCAUGAGUAGCCACACCACAGAAGCUAAGCACGGUUAGUAUUUGGAAGGGGGACCACAUGGGAAUAAAAUGUGCUAUGG